rnacentral:rRNA from 1 species
UACGGAGGAUGCGAGCGUUAUCCGGAUUUAUUGGGUUUAAAGGGUGCGUAGGCGGCCGAGUAAGUCAGCGGUGAAAUUUUGCGGCUCAACCGUAAAAGUGCCUUCGAUACUGGUUUUCUUGAGUGUAGAUGAAGUAGGCGGAAUUUGUGGUGUAGCGGUGAAAUGCUUAGAUAUCACGAGGAACUCCGAUUGCGCAGGCAGCUUACUAAACUACUACUGACGCUCAGGCACGAAGGCGUGGGGAUCAAACAGGAUUAGAUACCCCGUACGUCCU